GACGAACGCUGGCGGCGUGCCUAAUACAUGCAAGUAGAACGCUGAAGGAGGAGCUUGCUUCUCUGGAUGAGUUGCGAACGGGUGAGUAACGCGUAGGUAACCUGCCUGGUAGCGGGGGAUAACUAUUGGAAACGAUAGCUAAUACCGCAUAACAGUAGAUAUCGCAUGAUAUCUACUUGAAAGGUGCAAUUGCAUCACUACCAGAUGGACCUGCGUUGUAUUAGCUAGUUGGUGAGGUAACGGCUCACCAAGGCGACGAUACAUAGCCGACCUGAGAGGGGGACGGGCCAGAGUGGGAAGGAGACACGCCCCAGACUCAGAGGGGGGGAGCCGGGAGGGAAUCUGGGACAAGGGAGGGAAGUCGGACCGAGAAAGGCCGGGAGAGGAAAGAGGGUUGUCGGAUCAAAAACCUUGUUUGAAAGAAAAGAAGGGGUGUGGGGGUGAAAAGUCCACCCUGUGACGGAAUUUAACAAAAAGGGGACGGCAAACUACGUG
rnacentral:rRNA from 1 species